UCUGAGAGUUUGAUCCUGGCUCAGAUUGAACGCUGGCGGCAUGCCUUACACAUGCAGGUCGAACGGCAGCGGGGGAGAAGCUUGCUUUUCCUGCCGGCGAGUGGCGAACGGGUGAGUAAUACAUCGGAACGUGCCCUGUAGUGGGGGAUAACUAGUCGAAAGAUUAGCUAAUACCGCAUACGACCUGAGGGUGAAAGUGGGGGACCGCAAGGCCUCAUGCUAUAGGAGCGGCCGAUGUCUGAUUAGCUAGUUGGUGGGGUAAAGGCCUACCAAGGCGACGAUCAGUAGCUGGUCUGAGAGGACGAUCAGCCACACUGGGACUGAGACACGGCCCAGACUCCUACGGGAGGCAGCAGUGGGGAAUUUUGGACAAGGGGCAAAAGCCGGAUCCACCAUGGCCGCGGGUGUGAAAAAGGCCUUCGGGUUGUAAAGCACUUUCGGCAGGAAAAAAAGCUCCUGGGUUAAUACCCGUUGAGGAUGACGUUACCUGCGAAGAAGCACCGGCUAACUCCGUGCCAGCAGCCGCGGUAAUACGGAGGGUGCGAGCGUUAAUCGGAAUUACUGGGGCGUAAACGGCGCGUAGGUGGUGAGCUAAAUCGAGUGUGAAAUCCCUUGGGCUCACCCUGAAAUUGCCACUCUAACUGUCUGCUGAGGAGGCUAAGGGGCAAUGAAUUCCCGGAGUACCGGGAAUUGCAAGAAAGCGGAAAAACCCAUAGCGAAGCCGAUUGCCUGGACCAUACUGACCUGUGCCCGAAGCGUGGGGAGCAACGAUAAAACCCUGUAUCCCGCCCUAACGAUGAAACUACGAUGGGCUCGUUACAUCUAAGCCAACACGCAUUAAUCCCCGCGAGGAGUACG
rnacentral:rRNA from 1 species